rnacentral:rRNA from 1 species
GAUGAACGCUGGCGGCGUGCUUAACACAUGCAAGUCGAACGGAAAGGCCCAAGCUUGCUUGGGUACUCGAGUGGCGAACGGGUGAGUAACACGUGGGUGAUCUGCCCUGCACUUCGGGAUAAGCCUGGGAAACUGGGGCUAAUACCGGAUAGGACGAUGGGUUGGAUGCCAUUGUGGAAAGAGUUUUCGGGGUGGGAUGAGGUCGCGGCGUAUCAGCGUGUGGGUGGGGGAAUGGCCUACCAAGGCGUCGACGGGGAGCCGGCCUGAGAGGGUGUACGGCCCCAUUGGGGCUGUGAUACGGCCCAGACUCCUCCGCGGGGCAGCAGUGGGGAAUAUUGCACAAUGGGCGCGAGCCUGAUGCAGCGACGCCGCGUGGGGGAUGACGGCCUUCGGGUUGUAAACUCCUUUCGCUAGGGACGAAGCGUUUUUGUGACGGUACCUGGUGAAGAAGCACCGGCUAACUACGUG